rnacentral:sRNA from 1 species
UUUGACUCUGGAGUGGGAGUGGGAGCGAGCGCUUCUGCGACGCCAGUUGUGAGAGCCGCAAGGGCAUGGGAAUUGACGCCACUCACCGACCCCCAGUCUCAAUCUCAACGCUGUGAGGAAACCUCGACUUUGCCAGUUCCCCAAGUGCAGCGGGGCUCGGCGAGCGAGGCACCUUUCUUCGUCCCCAUCCCAAUCCAAGCGCUCCUGGCACUGACGACGCCAAGAGACUCGAGUGGGAGUUAAAGCUUCCAGUGAGGGCAGCAGGUGUCCAGGCCGGGCCUGCGGGUUCCUGUUGACGUCUUGCCCUAGGCAAAGGUCCCAGUUCCUUCUCGGAGCCGGCUGUCCCGCGCCACUGGAAACCGCACCUCCCCGCAGCUUCGGCGCCAGCCAGGACACCCUGUCCACCGCGCUGCAGUGGCUGCUCCUCCUCUUCACCAGGUAUCCUGAUGUGCAGACUCGAGUGCAGGCAGAAUUGGAUCAGGUCGUGGGGAGGGACCGUCUGCCUUGUAUGGGUGACCAGCCCAACCUGCCCUAUGUCCUGGCCUUCCUUUAUGAAGCCAUGCGCUUCUCCAG